GCGGGCGUCGUAUAGUGGCAUUACCUAAGCUUCCCAAGCUUAUGAGGAGGGUUCGAUUCCCUUCGCCCGCUCCA
rnacentral:tRNA from 3 species